rnacentral:rRNA from 1 species
AGAGUUUGAUCCUGGCUCAGGACGAACGCUGGCGGCGUGCUUAACACAUGCAAGUCGAACGGAGCACCCUUGAUUGAGGUUUCGGCCAAAUGAUAGGAAUGCUUAGUGGCGGACUGGUGAGUAACGCGUGAGGAACCUGCCUUUCAGAGGGGGACAACAGUUGGAAACGACUGCUAAUACCGCAUGACGCAUUUUGAUCGCAUGGUCGAAAUGCCAAAGAUUUAUCGCUGAAAGAUGGCCUCGCGUCUGAUUAGCUAGUUGGUGAGGUAACGGCCCACCAAGGCGACGAUCAGUAGCCGGACUGAGAGGUUGACCGGCCACAUUGGGACUGAGAUACGGCCCAGACUCCUACGGGAGGCAGCAGUGGGGAAUAUUGGGCAAUGGGCGCAAGCCUGACCCAGCAACGCCGCGUGAAGGAAGAAGGCUUUCGGGUUGUAAACUUCUUUUGUCGGGGACGAAACAAAUGACGGUACCUGACGAAUAAGCCACGGCUAACUACGUGCCAGCAGCCGCGGUAAUACGUAGGUGGCAAGCGUUGUCCGGAUUUACUGGGUGUAAAGGGCGUGCAGCCGGGCAUGCAAGUCAGAUGUGAAAUCUCAGGGCUUAACCCUGAAACUGCAUUUGAAACUGUAUGUCUUGAGUGCCGGAGAGGUAAUCGGAAUUCCUUGUGUAGCGGUGAAAUGCGUAGAUAUAAGGAAGAACACCAGUGGCGAAGGCGGAUUACUGGACGGUAACUGACGGUGAGGCGCGAAAGCGUGGGGAGCGAACAGGAUUAGAUACCCUGGUAGUCCACGCUGUAAACGAUGGAUACUAGGUGUGCGGGGACUGACCCCCUGCGUGCCGCAGUUAACACAAUAAGUAUCCCACCUGGGGAGUACGAUCGCAAGGUUGAAACUCAAAGGAAUUGACGGGGGCCCGCACAAGCGGUGGAGUAUG